AGUGUGCUCUCAAUACCUAUGGUUUAUAUAGUGUCUUAUACUGUGUUACCAGUGCAAGGUGAGCCUAGUGUGCUCUCAAUACCUAUGGUUUAUAUAGUGUCUUAUACUGUGUAACCAGUGCAAGGUGAGCCUAGUGUGCUCUCAAUACCUAUGGUUUAAAUAGUGUCUAAUACUGUGUUACCAGUGCAAGGUGAGCCUAGUGUGCUCUCAAUACCUAUGGUUUAUAUAGUGUCUUAUACUGUGUUACCAGUGCAAGGUGAGCCUAGUGUGCUCUCAAUACCUAUGGUUUAUAUAGUGUCUUAUACCGUGUUACCAGUGCAAGGUGAGCCUAGUGAGCUCUCAAUACCUAUGGUUUAAAUAGUGUCUAAUACCGUGUUAC